rnacentral:tRNA from 1 species
UCCAGUGUAGCCUAGUGGACAUGGCAUCUUCCCGGAACACUGUGGGUUCGAUUCCCAUUCCUGGAU